GACGAAGGUGGCUAGCGUUAUUCGGAUUUACUGGGCAUAAAGCGCGCGUAGGCGGCUUGGCAAGUCGGAGGUGAAAGCCUGCAGCUCAACUGCGGUGUGCCUCCGAAACUGCCGGGCUUGAGUGCGGGAGGGGUGAUUGGAACUCCAGGUGUAGCGGUGAAAUGCGUAGAUAUCUGGAGGAACACCAGAGGCGAAGGCGAAUCACUGGACCGCAACUGACGCUGAGGCGCGAAAGCUAGGGGAGCAAACGGG
rnacentral:rRNA from 1 species